UCCGGCGACUUUACUGAAGGGGCAACACCCGUUCCCAUUCCGAAUACGGCAGUUAAGCCCUUCGAGGUCGAUGGUACUUCAGUCGCAAGGCUGCGGGAGAGUAGAAUGUUGCCGGAA
rfam:Omnitrophica WOR_2 bacterium RIFCSPHIGHO2_02_FTLL_52_10 rifcsphigho2_02_scaffold_10449, whole genome shotgun sequence.